rnacentral:ncRNA from 1 species
CUAACCUGCGCGCCGUCGUUGCCAAAUCAACGACCGGAUUUGACGAUCCGUAAA